rnacentral:rRNA from 1 species
UACGAAGGGGGCUAGCGUUGCUCGGAAUUACUGGGCGUAAAGGGCGCGUAGGCGGUGUGUCAAGUCAGGCGUGAAAGCCCCGGGCUCAACCUGGGAACCGCGCUUGAGACUGGCACGCUCGAGUUCGGGAGAGGAUGGUGGAAUUCCCAGUGUAGAGGUGAAAUUCGUAGAUAUUGGGAAGAACACCGAUGGCGAAGGCAGCCAUCUGGACCGACACUGACGCUGAGGCGCGAAAGCGUGGGGAGCAAACAGG